AUUGAACGCUGGCGGCGGGCUUAACACAUGCAAGUCGAGCGGAGAUGAGGUGCUUGCACCUUAUCUUAGCGGCGGACGGGUGAGUAAUGCUUAGGAAUCUGCCUAUUAGUGGGGGACAACAUUCCGAAAGGGAUGCUAAUACCGCAUACGUCCUACGGGAGAAAGCAGGGGAUCUUCGGACCUUGCGCUAAUAGAUGAGCCUAAGUCGGAUUAGCUAGUUGGUGGGGUAAAGGCCUACCAAGGCGACGAUCUGUAGCGGGUCUGAGAGGAUGAUCCGCCACACUGGGACUGUGACACGGCCCAGACUCCUACGGGAGGCAGCAGUGGGGAAUAUUGGACAAUGGGGGGAACCCUGAUCCAGCCAUGCCGCAUGUGUGAAGAAGGCCUUAUGGUUGUAAAGCACUUUAAGCGAGGAGGAGGCUACUGAGACUAAUACUCUUGGAUAGUGGACGUUACUCGCAGAAUAAGCACCGGCUAACUCUGUGCCAGCCGCCGCAGUAACAC
rnacentral:rRNA from 1 species